rnacentral:rRNA from 1 species
AGUGAACGCUGGCGGUAGGCCUAACACAUGCAAGUCGAACGGCAGCACAGUAAGAGCUUGCUCUUACGGGUGGCGAGUGGCGGACGGGUGAGGAAUACAUCGGAAUCUACUUUUUCGUGGGGGAUAACGUAGGUAAACUUACGCUAAUACCGCAUACGACCUACGGGUGAAAGCAGGGGAUCUUCUGACCUUGCGCGAUUGAAUGAGCCGAUGUCGGAUUAGCUAGUUGGCGGGGUAAAGGCCCACCAAGGCGACGAUCCGUAGCUGGUCUGAGAGGAUGGUCAGCCACACUGGAACUGAGACACGGUCCAGACUCCUACGGGAGGCAGCAGUGGGGAAUAUUGGACAAUGGGCGCAAGCCUGAUACAGCCAUACCGCGUGGGUGAAGAAGGCCUUCGGGUUGUAAAGCCCUUUUGUUGGGAAAGAAAAGCAGCAGGUUAAUACCACGCUGUUCUGACGGUACCCAAAGAAUAAGCACCGGCUAACUUCGUG